AAGAUGCUCCCAGAAUCGUGCUGUCUAGGAAGCCAUUUAAACUGGUGAGAAGCCAUCCUCUCUUGAAUGGGGGCUCCCACUGUACAUCUGGCACCCACUUCACAGAUUCUGGGGGAUGUCAACACCAGCACUGCUGAGCUGUGUGACCUUGAGCAAGACAGUUAGCCUCUCUGAACCUCAGUGUCCUUCUCUGUAGGCUGGAGAUUGAUAUACCUUCAUUAUCGGGGUAUGAGAGUGUUAUAAAUCCAUGAACUGGAAGAUGCUUUCUUAUAACUCAGAGAAAAGAGAUGAAAAUGAAUCAAAGAACAGGAAGGAGACAAGCUCAGGAGAGUCACCCUAAGAAGGAUGUGUGGAAGACUUGACUGGAGGAUCAAAAUGUGUCGGGGGAAGGUGUACAAGGAGGAGUAAGGACACAGAUGUCCUGACUUCACACAGUGGGGGAUUAGAAGCCACCAUCAAACACAGAUGAAACAGGAAUAAAAGUAGUAGUACAUUACUUAAGCUUUAAAAGGGUAAGACUCCUGGGAAUUUGGAAGCUGAGACUUGAGGAGCAGAGGCAUUUAGCUGUGUAAACACAGAGCUUCAGUGGCAGCACCCUAAAUGCUUAGCUGAUAGAUCCGGAAUUAAAUACAGACCUAGAAACUGGAGUUGGAAAACUUCCUGGCAGCACUCCUUCCCUGCCAUCCCGGUGAUCCCCUUCUGGAUGGAGGGUGUGGAGCUCAGCACAUUCACGUCUGCAGAUUAAAAGCAUAAAAUGGCCCAAAGAAAUGGGAGAAGGUUGGCCUCUGGUCGGGCAAACAUGAGGGCAUGAAGAUAUAUAAUGUCCCACACGGGAGGAAACCCUUGCCGGGCCCCUCAGGAUUUAUAACAAGCUCACCUGAAGGAGAAACUUCAGGGGCACUUACACCAUCAGAUACCUAGAAAGGAGCUGUCAUUUCCUCACUGAAGAGUUUGCAAGCAGAUGGUAAAAGGGGUUUAAUUUGAAAACACUGAAACAUCGUGUUCGCUCAAAACCAUGACAAUUGCAGUUUUAUUGUCUCCACUCAGGAAAAUGUGUGUCUGGAUCAUCUUGUGGCCCGAAUGGGGAGAAAAGAUGCAGUAUUCCAAAGCAGGAGAUUCACUGAAAAAGAUGUUUAAGAAGUUGCUGAUGAAGAAAAGUUCAGGAUUCACAGCUCCAUACAAAGGGAAUAGCCACUUUUCUCAUUUUGAGAUAUGACUACUAACAAGUAUUAUUCUGCAUCUUCAGCCAGGCUGUGGAAGGCCCCAUUCUUUCUGUAACACAGAUGUUCAAUUGGA
rnacentral:lncRNA from 1 species